UACGGGGGGGGGCAAGCGUUGUUCGGAAUUACUGGGCGUAAAGGGCUCGUAGGUGGCCAACUAAGUCGGACGUGAAAUCCCUCGGCUUAACCGGGGAACUGCAUCCGAUACUGGAUGGCUUGAGUUCGGGAGAGGGAUGCGGAAUUCCAGGUGUAGCGGUGAAAUGCGUAGAUAUCUGGAGGAACACCGGUGGCGAAGGCGGCAUCCUGGACCGACACUG
rnacentral:rRNA from 1 species